rnacentral:lncRNA from 1 species
AAAGAGGCAGAGUGAGUUCAGCCUAUCAUUUGAGAUCCGAGUAUGAUUGGGGAAAUAUCCUGAAAUAGUCUAUGAUUUGAAGAAAUGGAUAGAUGGCUAGAAUAACAUGCUAGAUGGUAGUCAAGUUACUAACUGCAGAAUUGAUUUGAUAAAAUUCUCAUCGUGUCUCCUGACUUAGGAGAAAUAUUGGGUCUGAUGAAUGGGUAAAAUUCCCAGGUGAAAAGAAUUUGGUCUGUAAGAUUUGGCAGCACCCUGAGGUUUGCCAUAUCUGAUGGCCUGGCUUUAGUGGCAGCACCUAGUGAAGGCCCAGGUGUCCUUCUGACAACCUUUACCACCUACCGUUUUGUCCUUACUUAUGUUGAAUCACUACACACAGGCUGUUGAAUUCAGCUGUCUGUGGAGAAAUUAUACCAACCACAUGGUUAGACAGAAGGAAUACAAUAUAUUGCUUAAUUUGUAUCUGAAAGCUAAGCAACAUGGAAAAAAAUCAAGCAUGCUCAGUCACUUCCAUGAGGACAAACGAAGACACUUCAAGGAAUAUCCAGCACAAUAAGCAUUGAAGAAACAAAUGGCAACGCAAGCUUAAAGAAUUCCAAGCCAUUAUGAACUGACUCUUCAAAUAAGUGCUUAUUUUCACAUAACCAGGGAGUUUCUGGAUUAACUUCCAUAUAAGACAUAUUUAUUAAAAGAUUUGCACCCCUAUUGCUGGCACUGGGUGGACCUCCCCAAACGCUCUGCCCUUGGUGCUCUUCUGCCGGUUAUUCUCGUCCAUGACCCCAGAGCCAGGGAGAAUCUCACCAGUGCAGCCCAGGGCACUUCUGAUAACAUCUGAGCAGAGUGAAGGAGAAGAAACGCACGAGGCAGGCAUCUCAUUUAUGGAAGUGCUCCUCUGGGUCAAGCCCUCUGCCAAUAAUUUUCAUGCAUAAUGGCCCUUUCAUUCUCCCCAAAAAUUCUUCAAGGGAGGGUGAUAAUCCCAGGAUAUGGAAACAAGGAAAAGCAGACUACAAGAAGUUAAGUGACCUCCCCAAUGACCCGCUGCUCAUAAAUGGUAGUAUCAGAAUUAAAACCCAGAUGAGGCUGCC